rnacentral:rRNA from 1 species
UACGUAGGGUGCGAGCGUUUGUCCGGAAUUAUUGGGCGUAAAGAGCUCGUAGGCGGUCUGUCGCGUCGGUCGUGAAAACUUGGGGCUUAACCCUGAGCUUGCGGUCGAUACGGGCAUGACUGGAGUUCGGUAGGGGAGACUGGAAUUCCUGGUGUAGCGGUGAAAUGCGCAGAUAUCAGGAGGAACACCGGUGGCGAAGGCGGGUCUCUGGGCCGAUACUGACGCUGAGGAGCGAAAGCGUGGGGAGCGAACAGG